CAAGGAAUAGUUUAAGUAGAAUUUCAGCUUUGGGUGUUGAAGGUGGGGCAGUGCUUCUUCCUUGA
rnacentral:tRNA from 1 species